CAGCCCUGGCCUCGGAAUAUGGAAUCCGGUGGCCCUGGGUGCUGCAGGAAAGGGAAGUAAAUACUCUGUUCUAAUAGAAAACAAUCGUUUUGCUUUCCUUCUUCAGAAGGCGGCCUUAGGACUGCAUGUCCCCAAACUGGUCACCUCGCACUUUACUCACAUGAAUUCAUUAACAGUCAUUGUCUCUCCAUUGCCAUUAUUUUACUAUUUCUUGAAGUGAACCAAAUUCUCUCUGUGGUUAAUAAGCACUGAGCCAGGCCCCCUACCUUCCUUUUCAUCUUCAAAACACCUGGGGUUCCCUGAAUGGCAUCUUCCGUCUGGCCAAGGAAAAUAAGAGAUGAAAAAUGUUGCCCUACUGCAGGGAAAAACAUAAGCAUUUCACUUUACUAUUACCAGUUACCCCAGGUCUGUGUUCACUAGAUAACUGUCCUUAGGUGGCUGUUAAGGGUGGAAAAAUGAUGCUGUUGAAAGAGGGUGGGAGAGAAGGGGAGAACCAACAUGAGCUGGGGGUGGGGAGGAGAGACCCAUUUGAUAGGGGCAAAAAGAGCUAUAAAAUGAACCUCUGAACCUGAAGUGCUGAGCAGGAACAGUGACUCUCUGGGUUUGCUCUCUUGGGCUUUAGAUGAGCUCCUAGAAAGCUUUAGUUAACUGCAGAAAAACCUGGGACUAGCUUCAGGGCUACAGGAGUGGUUGAUCUUGGGAAAUUACACUGUUUUUCACUCUUUUUUCUUGGAUUUUUACAUCUUUAUUUAUGGUUAAAAACCAAACUAUAGGGUCUAUUUUUGGGUUUACAUUACCUCCAAGUGGAAGCGCUGAGAUUACAGAUCAAUUGCUUCUUUGGGUGAAAAUAUUGCUUCAUGACCAAAAUUAGACAAGGGGAUUUGAAGGCAGGCCUUCACAUUUGUAGUCUUCGUGGGAAUGGGUGUCUUUGUCUCACAAGUGCCCUGUGAAGAAGCUCAUGCUUUCUUCCUGCAUGUACCACAGAUAUGUGCUAGGCAGAGGAUUGAGACGCAGACAAGGAGCUUAGAAAGUCAGUGUCUGGUGCUCCCAGGGUGGAAAACUGAGAGACACGAAGCAAAGAGUAUAUCAAGGCAGGCUUUACAUCAUUCCCUAGUUAGGAAAACCCAUUUUAAACCAGCAAAUGUAGCAGGGCAUCUACUAGUUAACUGAUAAUAAAAAUCCAUGACAAAGAAGAUGCAGUGGGGAGCAAGCAUAAAUGAAAUACGACUGCUUAGAUACAACUCCUGUUUCUUCUCUUUGGCCUUAUUCAGCAAUCCGGUGCUAAACUUCAUACACUACAUCCUCCAACCUCAACAGAUUGCAUGCUGUUCUUAGUUCCACCAUCUUUUAUGCUAUUCUUACUUCAGAAACAUUCCUGUCCUACUCAUGGACUCAAAAUUCACUGACUUUUCACACUGGAAAAACCUUCCUCCACGAAGCUCCCCGCAGACGCACCAUCAGCUACAGUUGUUCCCCUCUAGGAGUGAUCAGUUCUCACUUGCAAGUCAACACAUAGUCAGCGGAAAUAAAUACUCUAGUGUGUUUUGACUUGAACUAGGAUAUAAUGGAAUUGUCUUGAAAAGAGUUAUUCAAAGGUCCUCUCAUGGAGAAGUUCUUUGCUUGUUAUAGCUGUUGGCCCUGCUAUGCAGUUGAUUCAACUAAGGAAGCUAAGUGCCUUGCUCACACCUUACCUUAGCCUCACGUGUGGCCUCCAGAGAGGCACCAUGGAGGUGAGAGCUGAGACGGAGUCUGAAGGAAGUAAGUACCCCAACCCCAGACCACAAAGGGCUCUCAGGAAGCAAUGUACUUCUGCAAAGAUCCCAGUGCACAAUGGGGAGCUGAAGAUGGGCAAUGCCUCUCCGUGUGCCCUCAGCAAGUGAAAGUUUGAAUGUGCUCUCCAGCAGACUUGAUGCUCUUCCUUCAGUUCCUUCAGCAGCAGAGCCAGAAGGCAAGAGUCAUGGUCUUAUGAGGCUCUUGGGCUUUCAGAAGCCAAGAGUAAUACCAGUUCCUUCUUAUCUCCUGCAGAGAACCAGAGAACUGGGAUAACAGACACUGCAGGACACAGAUUGUUUUGUUAAAGAGUUGGCCACAGCCAAAUAAUUUGGCAACAUGUAUAAAAUCUUCAAGAAGCAACAAUCAAAUUCAUCUAGAGACAGAAACCAGACUAGCAGUGGCCUAGACUUGGGAGAUAGGGGCUGGGGGGCUGGGGAGUAAGGGCUGAGGGGUGUGAGGUUUCUUUUUGGGGUGAGAGAAAUGCUCUGAGAUUGAUUUUGGUGAUGUUGCACAAAUCUGUGAACACACUAAAAGCCAUAUUCAGUAGACAUUAAAUGGGUAAAUUAAUGUACACAUUAAAUGGGUAAAUUGUAUGGUGUACGAAUUACAUCUCAAUAAAAUAAAGCUGUUUAAAAAGCCAAUGCAUCUCUUGUUUAUG
rnacentral:lncRNA from 10 species